ACUCAAAGGAAUUGACGGGGGCCCGCACAAGCGGUGGAGCAUGUGGUUUAAUUCGACGCAACGCGAAGAACCUUACCAAGGCUUGACAUCCUUAGAACCUGGAAGAGAUUUCGGGGUGCCCUUCGGGGAACUAAGAGACAGGUGGUGCAUGGUUGUCGUCAGCUCGUGUCGUGAGAUGUUGGGUUAAGUCCCGCAACGAGCGCAACCCCUAUAUUCAGUUGCCAGCACUUCGGGUGGGAACUCUGGAUAGACUGCCGGUGACAAACCGGAGGAAGGUGGGGAUGACGUCAAAUCAUCAUGCCCCUUAUGUCUUGGGCUACACACGUGCUACAAUGGGCAGUACAGACGGAAGCGAAGCUGUGAAGUGAAGCAAAUCUGAGAAAGCUGCUCUUAGUUCGGAUUGUAGGCUGCAACUCGCCUACAUGAAGUCGGAAUCGCUAGUAAUCGCAGGUCAGCACACUGCGGUGAAUACGUUCCCGGGCCUUGUACACACCGCCCGU
rnacentral:rRNA from 1 species